rnacentral:lncRNA from 1 species
AAGACUCUGCGCUUAACUGGCGGAGAAUACGACUCUUGCGGUCUAGCCGGGCCACUCGAUCCGCCCUGCUCACCCUCCUCCAGCCGUCGACGGUGGACGCCGCCGCCUCUAGUUCGCUUGGUGCAGGUCGGGGCCGCCCGGAUCCGCCCACGGACGGGCCGGAUCCCGCCUUGCACCAACUGAAUCGGAGCCGGAGGGCGACCAUCUAUCUCGACCUUCCGCGGCUCCGCGUCGCGGGAUCUCCUCUCCCGAAAGAUCCAAUCGCGAGUCUUUUCUUUGCUUACCGUAUGCUUUCUUUCUGUUCCUCGUGCCGAU